GACGUAGGGCGCGAGCGUUGUCCGGAUUUAUUGGGCGUAAAGGGCUCGUAGGCGGUUUGUCGCGUCGGGAGCGAAAACCCAGGGCUUAACCCUGGGCUGGCUUUCGAUACGGGCAAACUAGAGGUAUGCAGGGGAGAACGGAAUUCCUGGUGUAGCGGUGAAAUGCGCAGAUAUCAGGAGGAACACCGGUGGCGAAGGCGGUCUCUGGGCAUUACCUGACGCUGAGGAGCGAAAGUGUGGGGAGCGAACAGG
rnacentral:rRNA from 1 species